AUUGAACGCUGGCGGCAGGCCUAACGCAUGCAAGUCGAACGAGUGGCGGACGGGUGAGGAAUGUCUGGGUAACCGCCUGAUGGAGGGGGCUAACUACUGGUACCGGUAGCUACUACCUCAUACUAUCCGAUGUGCCCAGAGGGGAUAAACUAGUAGGUGGGGUAACGGCUCACCUAGGCGACGCUCCCUAGCUGGUCGGAGAGGAUGACCAGCGACAAUGGAACUGAGACACGGUGCAGACGCCUAAGGGAGGCAGCAGUAGGGAAUCUUGCGCAAUGGGCGCAAGCCUGAUGCAGCCAUGCCGCGUGUAUGAAGAAGGCCUUCGGGUUGUAAAGUACGUUCAGCGGGGAGGCGUUACCCGCAGAAGAAGCGCCGGCUAACUCCGUGCCAGCCGCCGCGGUAAUUC
rnacentral:rRNA from 1 species